GUUGUAUGGUUAAGUGACUAAGCGUACACGGUGGAUGCCUUGGCAGUCAGAGGCGAUGAAAGACGUAGUAACUUGCGAUAAGCCCAGAUUAGGUAGUAACAACCAUUUGAGUCUGGGAUUUCUGAAUGGGGAAACCCACGUGCAUAAGCACGUAUCCUUACCUGAAUACAUAGGGUAAGGAGGCGAACCGGGGGAACUGAAACAUCUAAGUACCCCGAGGAAAAGAAAUCAACCGAGAUUCCGAAAGUAGCGGCGAGCGAAAUUGGACUAGCCCUUAAGCUUUACACGCGUUAGACGAACGGUCUGGAAAGUCCGACGAUACAGGGUGAUAGUCCCGUAGUUGACGACGUGUGUUCAGUGAAAUCGAGUAGGGCGGGACACGUGAUAUCCUGUCUGAAUAUGGGGGGACCAUCCUCCAAGGCUAAAUACUACUGACUGACCGAUAGUGAACCAGUACCGUGAGGGAAAGGCGAAAAGAACCCCUGUGAGGGGAGUGAAAUAGAACCUGAAACCGUGUACGUACAAGCAGUAGGAGCAGGCUUUGUCCUGUGACUGCGUACCUUUUGUAUAAUGGGUCAGCGACUUAUAUUCAGUGGCAAGGUUAACCAUCUAGGGGAGCCGUAGGGAAACCGAGUCUUAACUGGGCGUUCAGUCUCUGGAUAUAGACCCGAAACCAGGUGAUCUAGCCAUGGGCAGGUUGAAGGUUGAGUAACAUCAACUGGAGGACCGAACCGACUAAUGUUGAAAAAUUAGCGGAUGACUUGUGGCUAGGGGUGAAAGGCCAAUCAAACCUGGAGAUAGCUGGUUCUCCCCGAAAGCUAUUUAGGUAGCGCCUCGGACGAAUACUACUGGGGGUAGAGCACUGUUAAGGCUAGGGGGUCAUCCCGACUUACCAACCCUUUGCAAACUCCGAAUACCAGUAAGUACUAUCCGGGAGACACACGGCGGGUGCUAACGUCCGUCGUGGAGAGGGAAACAACCCAGACCGCCAGCUAAGGUCCCAAAUUACUACUAAGUGGGAAACGAUGUGGGAAGGCUCAGACAGCCAGGAUGUUGGCUUAGAAGCAGCCAUCAUUUAAAGAAAGCGUAAUAGCUCACUGGUCGAGUCGGCCUGCGCGGAAGAUGUAACGGGGCUAAGUAGUAAACCGAAGCUGCGGCAAUAUACUUUUGUAUAUUGGGUAGGGGAGCGUUCUGUAAGCGGUUGAAGGUGUGUGGUAACGCAUGCUGGACGUAUCAGAAGUGCGAAUGCUGACAUGAGUAACGAUAAAGGGGGUGAAAAACCUCCUCGCCGGAAGACCAAGGGUUCCUGUCCAACGUUAAUCGGGGCAGGGUAAGUCGACCCCUAAGGCGAGGCCGAAAGGCGUAGUCGAUGGGAAACGGGUUAAUAUUCCCGUACUUCUUACAAUUGCGAUGGGGGGACGGAGAAGGCUAGGUGGGCCUGGCGACGGUUGUCCAGGUUCAAGUG
rnacentral:rRNA from 1 species